UGGGGAAUUUUGGACAAUGGGCGAAAGCCUGAUCCAGCAAUGCCGCGUGUGUGAAGAAGGCCUUCGGGUUGUAAAGCACUUUUGUCCGGAAAGAAAUCCUUGGCUCUAAUACAGUCGGGGGAUGACGGUACCGGAAGAAUAAGCACCGGCUAACUACGUGCCAGCAGCCGCGGUAAUACGUAGGGUGCAAGCGUUAAUCGGAAUUACUGGGCGUAAAGCGUGCGCAGGCGGUUUGCUAAGACCGAUGUGAAAUCCCCGGGCUCAGCCUGGGAACUGCAUUGGUGACUGGCAGGCUAGAGUAUGGCAGAGGGGGGUAGAAUUCCACGUGUAGCAGUGAAAUGCGUAGAGAUGUGGAGGAAUACCGAUGGCGAAGGCAGCCCCCUGGGCCAAUACUGACGCUCAUGCACGAAAGCGUGGGGAGCAAACAGGAUUAGAUACCCUGGUAGUCCACGCCCUAAACGAUGUCAACUAGUUGUUGGGGACUUCAUUUCCUUAGUAACGUAGCUAACGCGUGAAGUUGACCGCCUGGGGAGUACGGUCGCAAGAUUAAACUUAAUGAAUUGACGGGGUCAUAGCUG
rnacentral:rRNA from 1 species